AGUCGAGGGGUAACGGGGAAGCUUGCUUCCGCCGACGACCGGCGCACGGGUGUGUAACGCGUAUACAAUCUACCUUGUACUGGGGUAUAGCCUUUAGAAAUGAAGAUUAAUCCCCCAUAGUCUCUUAGAGUGGCAUCACUUCUAGAGUAAAGGUUACGGUAUAAGAUGAGUAUGCGUUCUAUUAGUUUGUUGGUGUGGUAACGGCACACCAAGACUACGAUAGAUAGGGGCCCUGAGAGGGGGAUCCCCCACACUGGUACUGAGACACGGACCAGACUCCUACGGGAGGCAGCAGUGAGGAAUAUUGGACAAUGGAGGCAACUCUGAUCCAGCCAUGCCGCGUGCAGGAAGACUGCCCUAUGGGUUGUAAACUGCUUUUAUACAGGAAGAAACACCUCUACGUGUAGAGGCUUGACGGUACUGUAAGAAUAAGGAUCGGCUAACUCCGUGCCAGCAGCCGCGGUAAUACGGAGGAUCCAAGCGUUAUCCGGAAUCAUUGGGUUUAAAGGGUCCGUAGGUGGAUAACUAAGUCAGAGGUGAAAUCUUGCAGCUCAACUGUAAAAUUGCCUUUGAAACUGGUUAUCUUGAGUUAUUAUGAAGUAGUUAGAAUAUGUAGUGUAGCGGUGAAAUGCAUAGAUAUUACAUAGAAUACCAAUUGCGAAGGCAGAUUACUAAUAAUUAACUGACACUGAUGGACGAAAGCGUGGGUAGCGAACAGGAUUAGAUACCCUGGUAGUCCACGCCGUAAACGAUGGUUACUAGCUGUUUGGACUUCGGUCUGAGUGGCUAAGCGAAAGUGAUAAGUAACCCACCUGGGGAGUACGUUCGCAAGAAUGAAACUCAAGGAAUUGACGGGGGCCCGCACAAGCGGUGGAGCAUGUGGUUUAAUUCGAUGA
rnacentral:rRNA from 1 species